rnacentral:rRNA from 1 species
UACGUAGGGCGCAAGCGUUGUCCGGAAUUAUUGGGCGUAAAGAGCUCGUAGGCGGUGUGUCGCGUCGGCCGUGAAAACCUGCAGCUUAACUGUGGGCUUGCGGUCGAUACGGGCAUCACUGGAGUUCGGCAGGGGAGACUGGAAUUCCUGGUGUAGCGGUGAAAUGCGCAGAUAUCAGGAGGAACACCGGUGGCGAAGGCGGGUCUCUGGGCAACAACUGACGCUGAGGAGCGAAAGCGUGGGGAGCGAACAGG